rnacentral:rRNA from 1 species
UACGAAGGGGGCUAGCGUUGUUCGGAAUCACUGGGCGUAAAGCGCACGUAGGCGGAUGUGCCAGUCAGGGGUGAAAUCCCGGAGCUCAACUCCGGAACUGCCUCUGAUACAGCACGUCUUGAGUUCGAGAGAGGUGGGUGGAAUUCCUAGUGUAGCGGUGAAAUGCGCAGAUAUCAGGAGGAACACCAAUUGCGAAGGCAGCUCGCUGGGACGUUACUGACGCUGAGACGCGAAAGCGUGGGGAGCAAACAGG